UAACGAGACGGAAACUAGGCAAGGACUUCACCUUUAUGUCCCUAUCCUAAUGGGUCACUAAGUUUAUUGUAAACUAUGUAGUGAACAAUAAACACAUGCUCUCCAAAAUGUUUGAUGUGUAUAACACAAUUGAAAUAAGUUUCAAGAGAGAUAGUGGGAGUUUAAGGACCAUGACUAUUGUAGUCGACGGAGAAGUCAAAUGAAGAAGAUAAAAUUAACUCCAAAGGGAACAAACUUUCUUUAUCAAAGGAUGGACAUUGGAAGGGGUAUUUGCAAGAAAUGUCUUGCAAGUGUCAAGAACACACCUUUCGAAGGUGUUGUAAAUUGUUCUUGAAAAGUUCAAAAUAGUUGGUUCUUCUACUUGAAUGCUUGAUUCCAUAUUAGUAACUAUGUUUUACAAUCGUUGUAAAAGUGUGACUAAUAAGAAGUAGAAGAUAUAUGAGAGAAGAAAGGUACUUCACAUUCGGAACGUGAAUAAAAUAUAGAUCUCUGCGAAAGCAGAUAGUACUUACUUCCUCAUAUGAACUACCAAAGAAAUUGGAAAAACCAAAGAUUGUCUUUACAUUCCAAUUUUAAGGAACUUAAUUCCGUCACUAUAGUAGAGAUGGAUGAAUGUUUUGUUUGACAAAACAUUGUUCUUUAUUAAUCAAUGAUUGGAUUAUAGUAAUCUAAUUGAUUGUCUCUAUAGUAGAGAUGAUAUGGUAGUGUUAACUAUUUAGAAUACAAUGUUGCUUAAAACCCAAAAGGUUGCAAGGUAGUGACUAAUCCCAACUGAGUUGUGAUACCUCUAAAAACAUAAAUUACGAGUUGGUCAUAGAUGGAUGUUUUGGAUCGUUAGAUCCGGAUCCAAUACCUUCUUAUUAAAAUUGUAUAGAGGUGAAAUGUUCAAAUCUUUAUUCUUUUGGAAAGAAGAAAGAAUCACAAAGUUGUUGAGGUUAAUUCACUUAGAUGUUAGUGGCACU
rnacentral:lncRNA from 1 species